GGGGGGGGGGGGGGGGGGGGGGGGGGCGUGCGGGUGGGGCGGGGGGGCGGGAGGCUGGCGGCUCUGGUGUUAGCGGCGGACGGGGGAGUAACACGUGGCUGACGUACCUAUAAGGCUGGGAUAACUUCGGGACACCUGAGCUAAUACCGGAUACUAUUUUGAACCGCAUGGUUCAAAAGUGAAAGACGGUCUUUCUUUCCCUUAUCGAUGGCUCCGCGCUGCAUUAGCUACUUGGUAAGGUAACGGCUUACCCAGGCAACGAUGCAUAGCCGACCUGAGAGGGUGAUCGGCCACACUGGAACUGAGCCACGGUCCAGACUCCUACGGGAGGCAGCAGUAGGGAAUCUUCCGCAAUGGGCGAAAGCCUGACGGAGCAACGCCGCGUGAGUGAUGAAGGUCUUCGGAUCGUAAAACUCUGUUAUUAGGGAAGAACAUAUGUGUAAGUAACUGUGCACAUCUUGACGGUACCUAAUCAGAAAGCCACGGCUAACUACGUG
rnacentral:rRNA from 1 species